rnacentral:rRNA from 1 species
AGCAGCCGCGGUAAUUCCAGCUCCAAUAGCGUAUAUUAAAGUUGUUGCAGUUAAAAAGCUCGUAGUUGAAUUUCGGGGUCAGCAGGUUGGUCGUGCCUCUGGUAUGCACUGGCCUUGCUGAUUCCUCCCUCUUGAUGAGCCGUAAUGUCAUUAAUUUGGUGUUGCGGGGAAUCAGGACUGUUACUUUGAAAAAAUUAGAGUGUUUAAAGCAGGCAAGCGCUUGAAUACAUUAGCAUGGAAUAAUGAAAUAGGACGUUUGAUCCUAUUUUGUUGGUUUCUAGGAUUGACGUAAUGAUUAAUAGGGAUAGUUGGGGGCAUUAGUAUUCAAUUGUCAGAGGUGAAAUUCUUGGAUUUAUUGAAGACUAACUACUGCGAAAGCAUUUGCCAAGGAUGUUUUCAUUAAUCAAGAACGAAAGUUAGGGGAUCGAAGACGAUCAGAUACCGUCGUAGUCUUAACCAUAAACUAUGCCGACUAGGGAUCGGAUGAUGUUAAUUUUUUAAUGACUCAUUCGGCGCCUUACG